rnacentral:lncRNA from 1 species
AUGGUCACCGCUUGCGGCCUCUUUGAAAUAUCUUUCGUCAUUCCCGAACAAUCUCUAUUAUCCACAGAAUCCCACCGCCUCAUACCACCUCCUUUCUCUGGUAUAGUCUACGCUCAAGAAAUCUUGGGCGUCUCCUGCCCUCCACCUACUCCAGCCUCUCUGAGUUUUACAAUCGUCGGCACCUACAAGCCCUAAAAGAACACCACCGAUCGAUUUUGCUCCUGCCCUCCACCGUGGGGGAGAUUGAUGCAGUCGUAGAUAGCGACUCCAAAACCCAAAUCGUAUUCCCCGUUAUUCCCCGUCCUCACCGCCAGAUUAAGCGAGGGAAGCUACCGGUACAUGCUUUUCGAAGCAUAUCCAAAAUUUCAACUGGCUUAUGCACAUCACGCGCCAAUCGGUAUGUUUCUUUCCUUAAUUUUCAAUUGAUUAACCAAAAAACUCACUUGAAUCAACUAUUGUUGUAGGAUACCAGUAAACUCCGGUGUAAUUAGGGUUUUAAUGCGUUUAUUGCAUAGAGUGCUUGAAUUUGAUGUAUAAUUUGUUGUUGUAUCAUAUAUUCUGAACAACUUUAUAAUAAAUUUCUUCACAGAGCCAAAAUUUGGUGGAUAUGGGUCAUUUUACCCUCACAAAAGCAUAUUCCGAUUGUCCAUUUUCAUAUCAAUACAUCUGAAACAGUUCAAAAUUUCAACAAAUCGUGUUUGCAUGUAUAUGGGAUUCUAUAUGAUCAUUAUAUUUAUUGAUAAACAUUGAUUAACUGUCAGCAGGUUGGAUAUGAAUUUUCGAAGAAAAUAUGUUCAGCCACACCAUCUGGUAGCUUUCUGAUCAGCGAUGCUUUCUCCAUUAGCUUAUUUAUUUUCAUUUUUUAUCUAAUUGUAUAACUAUUUAAGCUGAAUUUUUUGUUCACACUUUUGUUUUGCUGUGUGUGAGGAGUUAGGACUU